rnacentral:rRNA from 1 species
GACAUAGGUGGCAAACGUUAUCCGGAAUUAUUGGGCGUAAAGAGCGUGUAGGCGGUUUGUUAAGUCUGAUGUGAAAGCCCUGGGCUCAACCCAGGAAGUGCAUUGGAAACUGGCAGACUUGAAUACGGGAGAGGGCAGUGGAAUUCCUAGUGUAGGAGUGAAAUCCGUAGAUAUUAGGAGGAACACCGGUGGCGAAGGCGGCUGCCUGGACCGAUAUUGACGCUGAGACGCGAAAGCGUGGGUAGCAAACAGG